UCACAGUCCACUACAAAACCCUUUACAUCACACCAGCUACAUAACAGACCACCGCUUUACACAGAUCAACACCUGAAUUAAGAGAGUAGAAUUUCCUUUUUAAAGAGAAGGAAACCCCUUGACAAAGAACUUUACUUUUCACAUUUCCAAUCAAGACAAGAGGACACAUCAUAAGGAUGGGAUCUGCUGGGGUACAGAUUGUAUGUGUGGCCCUUGGGGUCCUGGGCCUGAUCGGGGGAAUUGUGUGCUGUGCCAUCCCAAGGUGGAAAGUGUUAUCAUUUACAGGACAGAACAUCGUAACGGCACAGG